rnacentral:misc_RNA from 1 species
AAGUCGUAACAAGGUUUCCGUAGGUGAACCUAUAGAAGGAUCAUUACUACUUACUUAUGGCUAUUAAGGGGGGAAACCCCCUCAGCAGUACGGCAACACCUACCCUUGACUAUAUAUACCUUUCGUUAUUUCCCUCAGCAGGGCAACCCGCUGCUGGGGACAUUAAAACCCUCUUGUAUUAAGCAUUAAAACUUCUAAAACAAACCUAAAAUAUAACAACUUUUAACAAUAGAUCUCUUGGUUCUA